rnacentral:rRNA from 1 species
UACGUAGGGUGCGAGCGUUGUCCGGAAUCACUGGGCGUAAAGGGCGCGUAGGCGGCCUGAUAAGUAGGGGGUGAAAUCUUGCGGCUUAACCGCAAGGCUGCCUUCUAAACUGUCGGGCUAGAGCACAGUAGAGGCAGGUGGAAUUCCCGGUGUAGCGGUGGAAUGUGUAGAGAUCGGGAGGAACACCGGUGGCGAAGGCGGGACUCUGGGCCUACCCUGACGCUGAGGCGCGAAGGCGUGGGGGAGCAAACGGG